rnacentral:rRNA from 1 species
UACAGAGGUCUCAAGCGUUGUUCGGAUUCAUUGGGCGUAAAGGGCGCGUAGGUGGCGCUGUAAGUCGGGCGUGAAAUUUCGGAGCUUAACUCCGAAACUGCAUUCGAUACUGCGGUGCUUGAGGACUGGAGAGGAGACUGGAAUUCAUGGUGUAGCAGUGAAAUGCGUAGAGAUCAUGAGGAAGACCAGUGGCGAAGGCGGGUCUCUGGACAGUUCCUGAGACUGAGGCACGAAGGCCAGGGGAGCAAACGGG